AACGAACGCUGGCGGCAUGCCUAACACAUGCAAGUCGAACGAGACCUUCGGGUCUAGUGGCGCACGGGUGCGUAACGCGUGGGAAUCUGCCCCUUGGUUCGGAAUAACACAGAGAAAUUUGUGCUAAUACCGGAUGAUGACGAAAGUCCAAAGAUUUAUCGCCAAGGGAUGAGCCCGCGUAAGAUUAGGUAGUUGGUGGGGUAAAGGCCUACCAAGCCGACGAUCUUUAGCUGGUCUGAGAGGAUGAUCAGCCACACUGGGACUGAGACACGGCCCAGACUCCUACGGGAGGCAGCAGUGGGGAAUAUUGCACAAUGGGCGAAAGCCUGAUGCAGCAAUGCCGCGUGUGUGAAGAAGGCCUGCGGGUUGUAAAGCACUUUCUAGUAGGGAGGAAACGAAGUAG
rnacentral:rRNA from 1 species